rnacentral:rRNA from 1 species
GACGAACGCUGGCGGCGUGCUUAACACAUGCAAGUCGAACGAUGAAGCCGGAGCUUGCUCUGGUGAAUUAGUGGCGAACGGGUGAGUAACACGUGAGUAACCUGCCCUUGACUCUGGGAUAACUGCUAGAAAUGGUAGCUAAUACCGGAUACGACCCUCGGCGGCAUCGCCAGGGGGUGGAAAGAAUUUCGGUCAAGGAUGGACUCGCGGCCUAUCAGCUAGUUGGUGAGGUAACGGCUCACCAAGGCGACGACGGGUAGCCGGCCUGAGAGGGUGACCGGCCACACUGGGACUGAGACACGGCCCAGACUCCUACGGGAGGCAGCAGUGGGGAAUAUUGCUCAAUGGGCGCAAGCCUGAUGCAGCAACGCCGCGUGAGGGAUGACGGCCUUCGGGUUGUAAACCUCUUUUAGUAGGGAAGAAGCGAAAGUGACGGUACCUGCAGAAAAAGCACCGGCUAACUACGUGCCAGCCGCCGCAGUAA